UACGUAGGGGGCUAGCGUUGUCCGGAAUCAUUGGGCGUAAAGAGCGUGUAGGCGGUCCGGUAAGUCCGCUGUGAAAGUCGGGGGCUCAACCCUCGAAUGCCGGUGGAUACUGUCGGGCUAGAGUGCGGAAGAGGCGAGUGGAAUUCCUGGGUGUAGCGGUGAAAUGCGCAGAUAUCAGGAGGAACACCUAUUGCGAAGGCAGCUCGCUGGGACGUAACUGACGCUGGAGACGCGAAAGCGUGGGGAGCAAACAGG
rnacentral:rRNA from 1 species